GAUGAACGCUGGCGGCGUGCCUAAUACAUGCAAGUCGAGCGAACAGACGAGGAGCUUGCUCCUCUGACGUUAGCGGCGGACGGGUGAGUAACACGUGCAUCACCUACCUAUAAGACUGGGAUAACUUCGGGAAACCGGAGCUAAUACCGGAUAAUAUAUUGAACCGCAUGGUUCAUUAGUUAAAGACGGUUUUGCUGUCACUUAUAUAUGGAUCCGCGCCGCAUUAGCUAGUUGGUAAGGUAACGGCUUACCAAGGCAACGAUGCGUAGCCGACCUGAGAGGGUGAUCGGCCACACUGGAACUGAGACACGGUCCAGACUCCUACGGGAGGCAGCAGUAGGGAAUCUUCCGCAAUGGGCGAAAGCCUGACGGAGCAACGCCGCGUGAGUGAUGAAGGUCUUCGGAUCGUAAAACUCUGUUAUUAGGGAAGAACAAAUGUGUAAGUAACUAUGCACGUCUUGACGGUACCUAAUCAGAAAGCAACGGCUAACUACGUG
rnacentral:rRNA from 1 species